UUCUGCUUGCUGGGGUCUCCUAGGAAGAGCCAUAGAGGAUGGGGAUGGGAGAUCAGGGGUCUGAAUCAGAGGUCUCAAUCCCUGAGGAAGCAGGCACUGAACAGCUGAGUUCCUGGGGGAUGGUAGGGGGAGGCAUAGGAGUGCCUGCCUCUGUUUUUUUUUAGCGUGGGGGAAGUUGGCGGAGAGGAGUGGAUGCUUGGGUUCCUGAGGCAGGGGUAGGAGAAGAGCUGGUGGGGACAUGUCUGGGAGGUCAGGUGGAUGUUUACCAAUGAGGUGAGCAGCAGGUUUGAGGGUGCUGUGGGCAAGUUGCAUCUUGGGGUGCUGACGGGCAGUCUGGGCAGCUGAAGGUGUGAGGCCAACACCAGGGAGCCCCUAGGGGAGAACAGAGUUGAGGGGGGCUCUAGGGCUCAAGGUUUGGCUGAGCCACCCCAGCAGCCCCCAUUCUCCUGCUGCCUCACCUGGGCCCCAGGCAGCAGGACCAGCAGCAGCCCCAGAAGGAGGAGGUGUAGGGGGGUGCCACGCACCCUUGAAAGGAAGAGACGUUCAGGUGGUGUCAUGGGGAGAACCUGCAGAGAAAGAGAGAGAGAGAGACAGUAAGUGGGGCGGGGCACGCUGCGGAAGACAGACCUCCUGCCCUGGGAGACAGCACCCCCCCACCCCUGAGAGAGAGAUCGACAGAGAAGGGGACAAGAUGCAGUCAGAGAAACCCCAAGAUCCUGUUCACUCCAAGGCUCAGCCUCUACUGGGAAGGGAAUGAUGCCCACAUCUAUUCCUCCAGACCCAACUUCUCUUGGGCUCCAGACCUGCUUUCUGGAAAUCUCCACCGGAGAGUCAUGCUGGCCUGUUCCUCCAAUUGAAUCCCAGUGCAUCCUCCACUUAGACUCAACUCCUGGUGCCAGCUCUAGAGAGCAGAGAUACACUUCCACCUACCCACUGCUUCAUGGCAGGCACUGAGUCACCCCUUGGGAAUCCCUGGCCCCCCUCCCUGCCCCCACCAUGCUGGACAGGAUGCCUGCUGCCUGCCCCAAGGGGUCAGAGGAAGCCAGGGCCUCUAGGGCUCAGUAUUUUUAUCAGCCUAGGAAACAAGAGACACAGAAGCGGAAACCAUGUGGUCAGAGAAAGUGAACAGCCCUUAUCUCAGGGGAACCCCCACCAAGGCUGGGGGCCAGACACCAGGUAGGGACAUUGAAAAGACUGAUCUGGUGGGCCCAGGUUUCAGGGCUUAUUUUGCUUUGGUUUUAUGUAACUCAUGCAGAAGGGGAAAUGAUGUGCUUAAAAACCAGUAAGGGUGGAGGAGCAAAUUUGGUCACCAGUUUUCUGCAAUUUACCUCUCAACCCCCAGCUUAGGGAUCAUAACCCCAACUCCCCCCAAGGCCAAACCUGGGCUCU